rnacentral:rRNA from 1 species
CCUACGGGGGGCAGCAGUGAGGAAUAUUGGUCAAUGGGCUUACGCCUGAACCAGCCAAGCCGCGUGAGGGAUGAAGGUACAGAGUAUCGUAAACCUCUUUUGUCAGGGAACAAAGGCGGGGACGUGUCCCCGGAUGAGUGUACCUGAAGAAAAAGCAUCGGCUAACUCCGUGCCAGCAGCCGCGGUAAUACGGAGGAUGCGAGCGUUAUCCGGAUUUAUCGGGUUUAAAGGGUGCGCAGGCGGUCUGUUAAGUCAGCGGUCAAAGCCCGGGGCUCAACCCCGGCCCGCCGUUGAAACUGGCAGUCUCGAGUUGGAGAGAGGUAUGCGGAAUGCGCGGUGUAGCGGUGAAAUGCAUAGAUAUCGCGAAGAACUCCGAUUGCGAAGGCAGCAUGCCGGCUCCACACUGACGCUGAGGCACGAAAGCGUGGGUAUCGAACAGGAUUAGAUACCCCAGUAGUC